UGUGUGUGUGUGUGUGUAUAUAUAUAUAAUGCACUAUUCCGUGAUGGUAAGGUCAACAAAAAUAUACUUCAUCUGGCGAGAGAUAAAUAUUAUUUAAUAAAUACGGUAUAUGUAUUUAUGUGCUACUAUUAAUU